AUACUCUGGUUUCUCUUCAGAUCGCAUAAAUCUUUUGACGUUAACUAGAUAUUUCCAUGGAGAGGAACAAUUCUGAGUUUUGAGCCAAUUUUUUGAGGCCUUGCACAUGCAAGGCU